GGGCGGUGCAGCCGGAAGAUCCCGCCCCGGUGGGGGCGGCCCCGGGCGUGGCACAGGCCGCGCUGCCCCUCCGCGCUCCGCGCCGCCAUGGUGGGGAAGGCCAAGCGCCCGCGGCUGCACCGCGCCGCCCCCCGGGCCUGGCCCGCCCGGGACCCGCCGCCGCUCCCCGCGUCCGAGCCGGGCCCCGGCCCCGGGAAGGACUGGGACUUCUCAUCUUCUGAUGUCUUUUCUGGGCUGAAGAUUGACCCUGAUACCCUGGUCAAGAAGCUCGACUUGGACUCCAGAAGCAUCACUUCCUCCAGGACAGGUUUAGAAGAAAAAACAGUUCUUUCCAAAAAAGAAAAGAUGAAGCUGAGGAAAGAAAGAUGGCUGCAGAAAAUAGAAAGUGUGAAGAUAAUGAAGCAGAAGCAAAAAGCCGAAGCAAAGCGAAAAGCAACACCUGUGGUGGGAGACAUGCAGCCCUUGAUGGAAGCCCUACCUGAGCUCUCUGACCUGACCACAGGUGGCAGGGGCAGGAAGCCAGUCAAGAGCCAUAUAGCAAAGGCAGAACCAUCAGACUUCUGUCUGAUGAAACAAGCUCAGAAACAUCGGCUCCUGUGGUUCCAAGUAACCGAAGAAUUGGAGCAAUGCUUGGAUGGCCUGGAUUGAAAUGUUAAGGAAAAUCCUCAGCUGGCAGCAGGGCUGGUUAUAGCUAUGUGCUAGGGUAGGUUUUGCUGUGGGUCAUGUGCCAAGAGAUAGCCUUCUACCUUGUUGUAGUUUAGGAAUGGUACUCCCCAAUUCAGUGCCCCCACAGAGACUCUCCCAAAGCAGACACUGCUCUCUCGCUCUCCCUUUCCCUCCCCUUUCCCACUCUGGCGGGGUGGAGUUGAGACUUGGAGGACAAAAGGUGAAGAUCUCAGAAACUUCCUCUGCCGUGUUCCCCCGUAGGGUGAUGUCAUGGAUGUGCUCUUAAGUGUUCUGGAGCCUCAUCCUUCUCCAGUGCAGUCUGGAGCAGUCCAUGGUAAAUAGUGGGGCUGUGUUUCCAUCCUUGAGGCAGUCAGUUCCAGGUGUACUGCACACCUCUCCACGUGAAAGCAAACUGUGGCCUACAUUCUGCUGCCAAAGGAAUGGAGAAAAACACAUUAACAAUAUCGAUGGUGGCACCACUUGGCUGCCCUGGACUCCAGUCCGUACCAUCUGGUCUGUCCAUCAGUACCUGUUGUUCUACAACCUCAGCAGUCCCACAGCAGAAGGAUCCUCUGAGAAACCAGGAGGCUGAAGCCAUAAUGCACACAGAGAGCCGUGGUAGAAGCACUGAUGAACUUGGCUGGUGGUGUUUGGGUGGAGAUCACUGUUCUAGUUUCAGGAGCUGGAACCACUUUAUCACCACGUGGCUAUAACCAAAAGUGUGUAUUCUACAACCUCUGUGUCAUUUCUGAGGGACUCUUAAUAAUGGAUCAUUUGCUGAAGCUGCCCAGGGCACACCUGAUACCUGAGGCUACAAGCUGGGUGUUAAAGAACCCUGUGAGGAGUGUUUCUUUGUCUUCAAACCCAUGACUCAGCUGUGAUAACUCCCCUCCAGGAGGCAUCAGCACCUUCACCUCCAGCCCAAGGGGGCAUCUCUGCUAAUGGGCCAUAGUGGACUGGCAUAACAGGCAGCUGCAACAACCUACACCAUCAAAGUCUCCAAAAAUACCCCACAACUCGCUGAGUUAAAUCACCCACUGUGAAACUCCCUGCCCUGGGGGAGGUACUGGACGUUCCCACCUGAACCUGAGCACGUAUCUUGGGGUUUUGGGACUUCUGGUACUGCUUGUCAGAUCCAGAGGAGGACCAGAGUUCCAACAGACUGUCACUCUUGACAAGACUGUGAUCAUCACUUCAACAGGACCAUCGUCCAGACCAACAGGUUUCUUUUCCUUUUCCUUUGCCCCCGGGGGGGGACCAUGUGGAGCUCAGCACAGCGGUGGAUGAACACCCUUCUGUUCUUGUCCCAGGGCGUGGGCUUAUACAUCUGUCUUUGUGGGUUAAAACUAGUUUUCCUGUAUCGUUGCAUUUAUUGUAAUUUUUUUUUUUUUUUUAGUAAAUUGUAACUCUGACUUGUAA